UCUCGAUAGUGUAAAAGUUAACUCAAAUUUGUAUGGAGAUUGAGCGUUUACAUACGUUUGCCGCUAGGGGCGCUGUUCCAACUGCGUUCAAAUUUGAGUUAACUUUUACGCUAUCGA
rnacentral:pre_miRNA from 9 species